UGCCAAGAAAAGCAUCGACGCGAGGUUUUAGUCACCCGUACCCCAAACCGACUCAGGUGUUCAGGUAGAGAAUACCAAGGAGAUCGAGAGAAUCGUGGUUAAGGAACUCGGCAAAAUGCCCCCGUAACUUCGGGAGAAGGGGGGCCCGCGGUGUGAAGGGACUUGCUCCUGGAGCACCAUACGGCCGCAGAGACCAGUGGGAAGCGACUGUUUACUAAAAACACAGGUCCGUGCCAAGUCGCAAGACGAUGUAUACGGACUGACGCCUCCCCGGUGCUGGAAGGUUAAGAGGAACGGUUAGCCGCAAGGCGAAGCUGAGAAUUUAAGCCCCAGUAAACGGCGGUGGUAACUAUAACCAUCCUAAGGUAGCGAAAUUCCUUGUCGGGUAAGUUCCGACCUGCACGAAUGGCGUAACGACUUCCCAGCUGUCUCAACCGCGAACUCGGCGAAAUUGCACUACGAGUAAAGAUGCUCGUUACGCGCAGAAGGACGGAAAGACCCCGUGACCUUUACUACAGCUUGGUAUUGGUGUUCGGUGUGGCUUGUGUAGGAUAGGUGGGAGACUUUGAAGCUGGGACGCUAGUUCAGGUGGAGUCAUUGUUGAAAUACCACUCUGGUCACUCUGGAUAUCUAACUUCGAACCGUGAUCCGGUUCAGGGACAGUGCCUGGUGGGUAGUUUAACUGGGGCGGUUGCCUCCUAAAAAGUAACGGAGGCGCCCAAAGGUUCCCUCAACCUGGUUGGCAAUCAGGUGGCGAGUGUAAGUGCACAAGGGAGCUUGACUGUGAGACUGACAAGUCGAGCAGGGACGAAAGUCGGGACUAGUGAUCCGGCAGUGGCUUGUGGAAGCGCUGUCGCUCAACGGAUAAAAGGUACCUCGGGGAUAACAGGCUGAUCUUGCCCAAGAGUCCAUAUCGACGGCAUAGUUUGGCACCUCGAUGUCGGCUCGUCGCAUCCUGGGGCUGGAGUAGGUCCCAAGGGUUGGGCUGUUCGCCCAUUAAAGCGGUACGCGAGCUGGGUUUAGAACGUCGUGAGACAGUUCGGUCCCUAUCCUCUGCGCGCGCAGGAAAUUUGAGAAGAUCUAUCCCUAGUACGAGAGGACCGGGAUGGACGAACCUCUGGUGUGUCAGUUGUUCCGCCAGGAGCACCGCUGAUUAGCUACGUUCGGAACGGAUAACCGCUGAAAGCAUCUAAGCGGGAAGCCGGCUUCAAGAUGAGAUUUCCAUGCCUUCGGGCGAGAGGCUCCCAGCUAGACUACUGGGUUGAUAGGCAGGAUGUGGAAGUGCGGACUAAAGACGCAUGGAGCUGACCUGUACUAAUAAGCCGAUAACUU
rnacentral:rRNA from 1 species